GUGAGUCAUCGAAUCUUUGAACGCACAUUGCGCCCGCCAGUAUUCUGGCGGGCAUGCCUGUCCGAGCGUCAUUUCAACCCUCGAACCCCCCCGGGGGUCCGGCGUUGGGGAUCGGGAGCCCCUCAGACGGGAUCCCGGCCCCGAAAUACAGUGGCGGUCUCGCCGCAGCCUCUCCUGCGCAGUAGUUUGCACAACUCGCACCGGGAGCGCGGCGCGUCCACGUCCGUAAAACACCCAACUUUCCGAAAUGUUGACCUCGGAUCAGGUAGGAAUACCCGCUGAACUUAAGCAUAUCAAUAAGCGGAGGA
rnacentral:misc_RNA from 1 species